GCUUUAUUUGCCUGAGGGGACACAGGGAACCAUUUAGGAGAGUGAGGCAAUUAAGCAAUUAUAUAACAUUUUGAAAACAUUCAAUACUUCCCACCAUUUGAUUUGUACUUCUGGAGAACUGCUUUUCUCAUACUAGCUGGUUAGAAUAGUAAAAAUCCUCACACCCUCCCCUCCCAUCUGUCAUUUUUUUUGGUCAUGAAAUUAUACCUCAUUUUACAAAAUGCAUUUUUCUGAGAAACUAAUGCUUACAUUGAAUUUUGCAAGUUUAAUAAUUAAGGAUUGGAAUGUUUUAUUUAAAAUAAUUAAGAUUAUUUUUUAAAAGUAUCACGUGUGAAAGUAAUUAUCACCCCCAAAUUGUAUUUUGCAAAUUGUGCCUAUUUUAUCACUACUAUACAUUUAGGACGAAAAGAAAAAAAGUUGGGGGUGGAUAAUCUAUCAUAAUACAAAAAGAAAAACUCUUGAGUCAGUGUUACUUUUCAUUGGGGAAAAGGCAGGUGGGAAAAAUAGAUAAAUACAAGUUAGAGUUAAUCCUAAAAUCUCAUUACAGCUUAAAAUAUCAAUCUCUAGAAAUACAAAACAUUUGCCAAAAUAAUUGUUAAUAUGUGCAACACUACCCAAAUUAAAAAAUGCAAUUCUCCCUUCUGCUAGUCCUCCUUCUGUACCAAUAUAAUUAGCAAUAAAAUUGAAGGCAACAAAAAUAAGAAAAGACAUAAUGAUCCUGGAAAAUCUACAAAAUGGAUUAUCAUUUUCUAACAAUUGUUAAUACACUGUGUUUUUUAUGUGGUGGUGUGAUAACAUUUUUUUCUUGCUUUCUUGUAAGUUAGGUACUGUGCUAUAUUUAUCUUUGACAGGGCACCUAGCAUCUGAUAGAAAUUCUAAACAGCAAAUGGUAGUAUGAUAUUUUUAUUAUCUAUGCCUCUUAAAACUCUGGCCAAUAGCAAGUAACACCAUUUCCACCUCCCAGAGGAGAAAGAUAAACACAAAAGGAGCUUAAGUGGAUAAAUCACAUAGCAUGGACACAGAAUCUUUUCUAAAUAAAUAACCUAUUAAAAUAGAAGUUGGCAGUCUUAUAAAAAGAAAAUAAAAGUUCUGAUGAGGAAACCUGGGUUGUUUCUCAGCUCUAACUACAAAAAUAAACAUCCUUGAGAAAUUGCUGAACCUCCUUGUUCUUGCUUAAUGUAAAAUGAGAGGGCAAGAUUAAAUGAUCUCAAAGCUCCCUUUCAGUUCAGGGACUGUGAAAUAAUAUGGUAAAUAGGCUUACUUAGGACCUUCUCGGGCACUAGCACUUUAAGAGUUUUACGUGGAUUGUAUAAUCAUCAAAAUAAUCCUGCAUAAUAGACACCAUUGUUAGUUGCAUUUUAUGAAGAAAGUGAGGCUUAACCAUUGAAGUAUUUUACACAAUGUCAUGUGUUUAGGGAGCAGCCAAGGUGAAGUUUUCAACCAGGCCGACCAACUUCAGAGUCCACUGGCUUCAAAACAGUGCUUUACAUCCUCCUUCCAACAUUAUUCACAAGCCGAUCAAGACUGAGAGAGUCACAAGUGUGUGAAACCUGUAUUCUUUCUGACUUCAUUUUCCCUGGUCGAAAUUUUUGUAGAAUAGACAAAUCAAGAAUGAUGACUUCUUAAGAUGCAGUAUUCAAGUUCAGAAAUCUAUACUCAGAUGACCUUAUGUAGGUCAUCUGCUUCUGAGGUUUAUCUCACCAGUGGCAUCCUGACUCAAGCUGUAUACAUUUGCAAUAUCUGAUUUUUAACCACACACUCUUCAUCCUAUUGACCCAGAGUGAAAAUUGAUACUCUUAGCUGAAGGACUGUUCCCUUGAGUAUAUUUAAACCAGACCAAUCUCUGUGUUUAAUCUGGGUUCAUCAGGAACCAUUAGCCUUGAUUGGUUUGUUUUUCUCCCCCUCCAUCUCAGGACUUGAUUCUAUUGAGUUAACAACUAUUCUCCCCAGAGAACAGCUACCGCAAGCCUGUUUCAAGUAAUUCCAAUAUCUGGCUCUUAGAAAUUGAACUGAUCUUUUUUUUCUUUAGUUUUAUGUGAAGAACUGCAGUAAUGAAUUCUGAAUUUGUUCAAAUCAUUGAAGAUGUGUGAAGACAAAACAUUCACUCAAAUCUCUAUCAUGUUAGCAUGUUAUUUAUCAUUGCUCUGUUCUUCAUUGUUGAAUAAUGCAAUUGAGUUAAAAAGAAUAAACAUUAUUUACCGAAGACUCAUAUGUUGAUAUCCAGUAAAUCCUCAUUAAUCACAAUUUGACAAGCUUGCAAUUUCUGGUAUUUCAGGAAGGAACUAGGUAUAUGUUUAUCUGUGCAAAAUAUCAAAAAAUGCAUUAGUAAGCCUUUUAGUAAUGUAAAUAAGACUGCGGAAGAAUUAUUAGAGCAAACUAUAUUUUGUUUAAACUAUUCCGGCAUAACACAUAACUCAGAAAAUAAGACAAUCUAUCGAAGCCUUACAAAUUACAAUCUGUGAGGCCUGUCAUAACUUUCAUAAGAAUGCUUAAUUACAUUGUGCUGCUGAUAUAAAGAACCCAUCUCUAAAUACAGUUAAAACAUUAUCCAGAUUUUCAAACAUAAUUUCAAGGGGGAUAAUAAGUAGAAAAACUACGGGGUUAUUUUUCAGAUCAUAUAUUUCUAGCUCUACUUUUGAAUAUCUG
rnacentral:lncRNA from 1 species